rnacentral:lncRNA from 1 species
GGGGAGUAUAAGGAAUCGGUGCUCGUAGCCUAAGAGGGGGACAAGGUGAAUUAGGCGACUUAAAACCUUAACCUACUUUGCAUCAAAACAUAAUCUAGAUCAUGCUAACCUACUAAUGACUCUCCUAAGCUUGUGCUAAGCCUUUGAUGGAUCACUUAAGCACUUUUGGUGGUUUGGAUGUGUUUUUGCUGAGUCUUGGUCUUCAAUGCAUCCCUUGACACUCCAACAACUCCAAAUGGGCGAGUGAUGAUGGUAUAAAUAGCCCUUAGGGCUCAAAGAGCCAUUGCUCCAAUGGCU